CUGUGUCUGAGAUAAAAAGGCAGACAGUGUUACAAUACAGAGAAGAUUAGCACGGCCCCUGCACAAGAUGACAAGCAAAGAGAGAGAGAAAUAAAUUAUUAAA